rnacentral:rRNA from 1 species
GGACGAACGCUGGCGGCGUGCCUACUACAUGCAAGUUGAGCGAUGAAGAUUGGUGCUUGCACCAAUUUGAAGAGCAGCGAACGGGUGAGUAACGCGUGGGGAAUCUGCCUUUGAGCGGGGGACAACAUUUGGAAACGAAUGCUAAUACCGCAUAACAACUUUAAACAUAAGUUUUAAGUUUGAAAGAUGCAAUUGCAUCACUCAAAGAUGAUCCCGCGUUGUAUUAGCUAGUUGGUGAGGUAAAGGCUCACCAAGGCGAUGAUACAUAGCCGACCUGAGAGGGUGAUCGGCCACAUUGGGACUGAGACACGGCCCAAACUCCUACGGGAGGCAGCAGUAGGGAAUCUUCGGCAAUGGACGAAAGUCUGACCGAGCAACGCCGCGUGAGUGAAGAAGGUUUUCGGAUCGUAAAACUCUGUUGGUAGAGAAGAACGUUGGUGAGAGUGGAAAGCUCAUCAAGUGACGGUAACUACCCAGAAAGGGACGGCUAACUACGUG